rnacentral:rRNA from 1 species
CCCUACGGGAGGCAGCAGUGAGGAAUUUUGCGCAAUGGCCGCAAGGCUGACGCAGCAACGCCGCGUGGGUGAAGAAGGCCUUCGGGUCGUAAAGCCCUGUCAGGUGGGAAGAAUGAUUCGGGAGUGAAUAAUUCCCGGAUGUGACGGUACCACCAGAGGAAGCACCGGCUAACUCCGUGCCAGCAGCCGCGGUAAUACGGAGGGUGCAAGCGUUAUUCGGAAUUACUGGGCGUAAAGCGCGUGCAGGCGGGCGAGCAAGUCUGAUGUGAAAGCCCUGGGCUUAACCUGGGAAGUGCAUUGGAAACUGUUCGUCUUGAGUUGCGGAGAGGAAGGGGGAAUUCCCGGUGUAGAGGUGAAAUUCGUAGAGAUCGGGAGGAAUACCAGUGGCGAAGGCGCCCUUCUGGACGACAACUGACGCUGAGACGCGAAAGCGUGGGGAGCAAACAGGAUUAGAUACCCUAGUAGUCUA